rnacentral:rRNA from 1 species
UACGUAGGGUGCAGGCGUCAAUCGGAAUUACUGGGCGUAAAGCGUGCGCAGGCGGUUUCUUAAGUCAGAUGUGAAAGCCCCGGGCUUAACCUGGGAACUGCGUUUGAAACUGGGAGACUUGAGUGUGGCAGAGGGGGGUGGAAUUCCACGUGUAGCAGUGAAAUGCGUAGAUAUGUGGAGGAACACCGAUGGCGAAGGCAGCCCCCUGGGUUAACACUGACGCUCAUGCACGAAAGCGUGGGGAGCAAACAGG